rnacentral:rRNA from 1 species
UACGUAGGGUGCAAGCGUUAAUCGGAAUUACUGGGCGUAAAGCGUGCGCAGGCGGUUUUGUAAGUCUGUUGUGAAAUCCCCGGGCUCAACCUGGGAAUGGCAAUGGAGACUGCAAGGCUAGAGUUUGGCAGAGGGGGGUAGAAUUCCACGUGUAGCAGUGAAAUGCGUAGAGAUGUGGAGGAACACCGAUGGCGAAGGCAGCCCCCCUGGGUCAAGAUUGACGCUCAUGCACGAAAAGCGUGGGGGAGCAAACAGG